rnacentral:rRNA from 1 species
GGGANUAAGACAUGCUAGUCGAGCGUNNCCAAGCUAUGGAAGAGACGCGGCACACAGNUCAGUAACACGUGGCUAACCUGCCCUUGGGACAAGGACAANUCCGGGAAACUGGGGCUAAUCCNNGAUAAGUGAGAACUCCUGGAAUGGAUUCUCGCUCAAAGGACGUUUAGACCAUGCUUCUAGGCGUCGCCCAAGGAGGGGGCCGCGACCGAUCAGGUUGUUGGUGAGGUAACGGCUCACCAAGCCUUUAACCGGUACGGGCCGUGAGAGCGGAAGCCCGGAGAUGGGCACUGAGACAAGGGCCCAGGCCCUACGGGGCGCAGCAGUCGCGAAAACUCCGCAAUACACGAAAGUGUGACGGGGCUAUCCCGAGUGCCAUCCGCUGAGGAUGGCUUUUCCCCAGUGUAUAAAGCUGGGGGAAUAAGGAGAGGGCAAGCCUGGUGUCAGCCGCCGCGGUAAUACCAGCUCUCCGAGUGGUGGGGAUGUUUAUUGGGCCUAAAGCAUUCGUAGCCUGCUUGGCAAGUCCUCCGUUAAAUCCAACGAUUCAAUCGUUGGGCUGCGGGGGAUACUGUCCAGCUAGGGGGCGGGAGAGGCCGACGGUAUCCCCGGGGUAGGGGUGAAAUCCUAUAAUCCCGGGAGGACCACCAGUGGCGAAGGCUGUCGGCUAGAACGCGCUCGACGGUGAGGGAUGAAAGCUGGGGGAGCGAACCGGAUUAGAUACCCGGGUAGUCCCAGCUGUAAACGAUGCAGGCUAGGUGUUGGCGCGGCUACGUGCCGCUCCAGUGCCGCAGGGAAGCCGUUAAGCCUGCCGCCUGGGAAGUACGGCCGCAAGGCUGAAACUUAA